rnacentral:rRNA from 1 species
GACGAACGCUGGCGGCGUGCUUAACACAUGCAAGUCGAACGAAGUGGCGAACGGGUGAGUAACGCGUAAUCAACCUGCCCUUCAGAGGGGGACAACAGUUGGAAACGACUGCUAAUACCGCAUACUGAAGGAGGGGAUUGCGUCUGAUUAGCUAGUUGGGGGGGUAACGGCCCACCAAGGCGAUGAUCAGUAGCCGGGCUGAGAUGAUGAACGGCCACAUUGGGACUGGGACACGGCCCAGACUCCUACGGGAGGCAGCAGUGGGGGAUCUUCCGCAAUGGACGAAAGGCUGACGGAGCAACUCCGCGUGAGUGAUGACGGCCUUCGGGUUGUAAAGCUCUGUUAAUCGGGACGCGGUACCGGAAUAGAAAGCCACGGCUAACUACGGGCCAGCAGCCGCGGUAAUUC